rnacentral:lncRNA from 1 species
AGACCUUGGAUCCUCAGAGGGGCCUCUGGACUGACCCCAUACCACCCCAAUCAGUAUCAUCCUGGUUUAACCUUUCCCUUGGGGAUUAUAACCCAUCCCUAAUUUUGACAGAGAAACAAGGACAGGAAAGCUGUCCCUUUAGUUUAAAUUGGUUUCUUUUUACUAGCAAACAAAAUUAGGGUCCCAGGUUAAACUGGUUAGCAAGCAAAUGGCUCAGGGGCUUGGAGUUAUCACAUAAUUCAACCAUGCCUUUAGCUCAGACUGGAAAAGAUGGUCCUUUGAAGUACAUGAAGAAAUGAGCAAAAGAAUCAGAAGAGGAAAGAAUCCAAGAAGACAGAAGGAAGAAUGGAACAUUUGCUUUCUUAGGAAAUUAAGGAAGGACACCAGAAGAAAAUCCCUUGGGUGGGAAUGGCAGAAGGCAAGGACAAAUGGAAUUUUCUCUUGCAGCAAUGAGGCAGUCUUGUACAGAAGGAGAAUCUGCAGGACAGAAGUCUUUGGGAGAGAAGGGGCCGGAAGCAUUACAUCAAGACCCACCAGAUUUGAAAGACUUAAAAAUUUUGGGGGGAUUGGGGUAAUGUUGUGGGGCAAAAUUUGCCAAGACUACUCUGCCUACCAUUCUCUGGCACAAGUGUCAAUGUGCCAGGCAUUGGGGAGUGCCCCCAAAUGCCAAUUGCCCAUACCUGUACCCCUAGGCUUUCCCACCAUUAGUGACAGAGUCCAACCCUAUAUAGAAUCACCCAUUUGUCUGUUUGGUCAGCAGACAUCCAGUCUUGACCAAAAGGGGGGGGGGGGUAUAGACUUGGAAUCUAGAAUCCCCCAAACUUGUAGCCUAGAAAGAUUUAAUGAGCUUAAAGUUGAAAGCUCCAGGUUUGACCUUGUCACAGGAGAGUUCCUCCCUGAGGGAAAGUCCAGUUUCACUGGCAUUGGACUAACAAUAGACCUUAAAGUAAUUUAGGUGGGAAUAGCUAAUCCAUUCUGGUGUUAAGGAUCUCUUUUGUCCCAUUGGUUUCCCUCCUUAGGCCAAAGUCUUUUACUUAGGUGACCCAGCCCUUGGGUGGAUCUUUCCCUUUUAUGUCCAUUGUAAAGCAUCAGCCCCUCACUGUUAUUCCUAUAUAGGACUCCUCAUUUUCCUUUGUUACCAUUGUAAAGUCAAUCAACUCUUCCUGGCAUCCUUAGUCUCCAUGUUCCCCUAGAAAGGUUUUUAAGCUUGCCCACUUUUAUAGCUCUUUGGAGUUGUCAGUCUAGCAUGGUUGGCUCUCACAAGGGUCAAGUGUCCAGAGUAUCCAGAAUUCAAUCCUUGGACUAGGUGUGGGUGUUAGCACAUAGUUCUGUGUGGAGGCCUACUAUUACACUAAACCCCUUUUCCCUGAUUAAAGAGUGGUUUUUCUAUUUAAUAGUUCUAUUUUUCUAACUCAACAAAAUAUA